GGGGCUGAUUCUGGAUUCGACGGGAUUAGCGAAGUCCAAGGUGCACGUCGAGGUGCGGUAGGCCUCGUAAACAAACCGCAAAAUAAUAGUCGCAAACGACGAACAAUACGCUUUAGCAGCUUAAUAACCUGCCUUAAAGCCUUACCGCCCCAGCUUCCGCUCGUAAGACGGGGAGUUCGGUAAGUCACCCAAAACGAGAUCGUGUGGAAGCCGCCGUUUGAGGAUCGAAGCAUUAAAUGGAAUCAAACUAGCCUAAAUUUAGCCUGUUUGUCGGCGUGUUUAGGUGAAAUGAAAGACAAACUAAACGUGUAGUGCUGAAGAUGGAGUAAUUUCGGACGCGGGUUCAACUCCCGCCAGCUCCACCA
rnacentral:tmRNA from 2 species